GCCUCUUUAUCUAAAUAAAAUGAUUCCUUCAAAAAUUUUCCAGGCUUGUUAAAAAUUAAAACUUUUGUUUUGGACAAGUUUACAUCUAGACACCAGUCAAUACAAUAAGUAUGCAAUAUAUCAAGUCGGUUUUGAAGACCUUUUUUAGUGUUUGAUAAUACAAUAAUGUCAUCAGCGUACAUAAGACAAUCAAUUCUACGCCCAUUGAUAUCAACAGCAUCUGGACUUGGCUCAAAUUUUGGAGGCAGAUCGUUAAUGAAAAGCUUAAAUAAGUUUGGACUUAGAACAUCCCUUGUCUUACCCCAACUAGCGAGCUGAAAGAUGGUGUUAAUACAUUGCCCACUUUCACAGACAUUUCAUUCUUGCUGUACAUAUCUUUUAAAAUAGUAUAAAAUUUUCCAGAU
rnacentral:lncRNA from 1 species